GGGGCUGUAGCUCAGUGGUAGAGCACUUGCCUAGCAUACAUGAGGCACUGGGUUUGAUCCUCAGCACCA
rnacentral:tRNA from 1 species